CGCCGUGACAACAGGGCGAGGGUGGCUUGGAGUUAGGCGGGGGCGGAGAGCGGUCCCCUGCGCCGCGUCUGUCCCUUUUUGCUGCACCCCGCUCCCCACCUUCUCCAUCAGUUCCUCCUCUGUAAGCCGCUGCACCUGCAGUCCUCGCCUGCCUGGUCUCUUCCGAGGGAUACAUGCGCUGCCCCUGCUUGUCUCCGGGGUGACGGAAAGGGGCGCCGGCGAGUGUGCUGGGGAGAACGGCUCCAACUCUGGGGAGCCGGCGGGGCUGCCUGGAGGGGCUCUCUCCUGCCCGGGACUUGAAACAACUUAGAGCGGGAGUAGCGAGGCGAAGGGUUGCUCUCCUUUGCACCCUCCACUCCGUCACUGGGAACCUCGUCAGGCGUUCUUAACGGGAAAUCUGCGCAAAGAGCGUUCGCAGUGAGGUGGGGCAGGUUGCACCUGCCUUGGCAUCAGAGUGAAAGAAAAUGUCUUUGUUUAAAGCCCGUGAUUGGUGGUCUACUGUUCUGGGAGAAAAAGAAGAAUUUGAUCAAGGCUGUUUGUGUUUGGCUGAUGUUGACAAUAGUGGAAAUGGCCAAGAUAAAAUAAUUGUGGGUAGCUUUAUGGGAUACCUAAGAAUCUUUAACCCCCAUCCUGUAAAAACAGGAGAUGGAUCUCAAGCU